rnacentral:rRNA from 1 species
UACGUAGGGUGCAGGCGUUGAUCGGAAUUACUGGGCGUAAAGCGUGCGCAGGCGGCUUCCUAAGUCAGAUGUGAAAUCCCCGGGCUCAACCUGGGAACUGCGUUUGAAACUGGGAGGCUAGAGUGCGGCAGAGGGGGGUGGAAUUCCACGUGUAGCAGUGAAAUGCGUAGAUAUGUGGAGGAACACCGAUGGCGAAGGCAGCCCCCUGGGCCAGCACUGACGCUCAUGCACGAAAGCGUGGGGAGCAAACAGG